AGAAUUGUUAGAGUUUGUGAUCUUAGUUCCUUUGUCCCAUAUCGCUUGGUUUGUAAAAACUUGUGUCUCAUUAGUGUUAUAUAUAGAGGCACCUUGUAAGCUUUUAUAUGUGCAAGUAAUAAAAAGUUCUCUUAGUGUAGCCGUUGACGUAGGCACAUACAUUGUGUGCUGAACUACGUUAAACUUUGUGUUUUUCUCUCUUCUCCUUAUUCCUUUCUCUUCUUAUCAGCCCUUUU
rnacentral:lncRNA from 1 species